UACGGAGGGUGCAACCGUUGCUCGGAAUCAUUGGGCGUAAAGCGCACGUAGGCGGCUUGUUAAGUCGGGUGUGAAAUCCCUGGGCUCAACCCAGGAAGUGCACUCGAAACUGGCGAGCUUGAAUAUGGAAGAGGGUCGCGGAAUUCCCGGUGUAGAGGUGAAAUUCGUAGAUAUCGGGAGGAACACCAGUGGCGAAGGCGGCGACCUGGGCCAAUAUUGACGCUGAGGUGCGAAAGCGUGGGGAGCAAACAGG
rnacentral:rRNA from 1 species